rnacentral:rRNA from 1 species
GACGAACGCUGGCGGCGUGCUUAACACAUGCAAGUCGAACGAAGUGGCGAACUGGUGAGUAAUACGUGGGUAACCUGCCCUCCUUUUUGGGCUAAGCCUUGGAAACGGGGUCUAAUACCAAAUCAAGGGGGAUGGUCUCGCGUCCUAGUAGCUUGUUGGUGGGGUGAUGGCCUACCAAGGCGGUGACGGGUAGCCGGCCUGAGAGGGGGAACUGGCACAGUGGGACUGAGAUACGGCCUAGACGCCUACGUGAGGCAGUAGUGGGGGAUAUUGCACAAUGGGCGAAAGCCUGAUGCAGCGACGCCGAGUGGGGGAUGAAGGUGUUCGGGUUGUAAACAUCGUUCGCUAUCGAAAGGGUAGGUGGAGAAGAAGCGCCGGCUAACUACGUGCCAGCAGCCGCGGUAAUUC